rnacentral:tRNA from 1 species
GCCACCCUAGCUCAGUUGGCAGAGCAACGCAUUCGUAAUGCGUAGGUCAGGAGUUCGACUCUCCUGGGUGGCU